UACGGGGGGGGCAAGCGUUGUUCGGAAUUAUUGGGCGUAAAGGGCGCGUAGGCGGCCAUUCAAGUGACGGGUGAAAGCCCUCGGCUUAACCGAGGAACUGCCUGUCAGACUGGAUGGCUUGAGACCGGGAGAGGUGAGUGGAAUUCCCAGUGUAGCGGUGAAAUUCGUAGAUAUCGGGAGGAACACCAGUGGCGAAGGCGGCGAUCUGGGAAGAUACUGACGCUGAGGUGCGAAAGCGUGGGGAGCAAACAGG
rnacentral:rRNA from 1 species